AACUGGCGGCUGCUAYAAUGCAAGUCGAGCGAGUCCCUUCGGGGGCUAGCGGCGGACSGAUGAGUAACMCGUAGGCWACCUGCCCGUAASCUCGGGAUAACAUGGGGAAACUCMUGCUAAUACCGGAUAGGGUCUUCUCUCGCAUGAGAGGAGACGGAAAGGUGGCKCAAGCUACCRCUUACKGAUGGGCCUGCRGCGCAUUAKCUAKUUGGUGGGGUAACGGCCUACCAAGGCGACGAUGCSUAKCCSACCUGAGAGGGUGACCGGCCACACUGGGACUGAGACACGGCCCMSACUCCUACRGGAGGCRSCASUAKGGAAUUUUCCACAAUGGACGAAAGUCUGAUGGAGCAACGCCSCGUGAACGAUGAARGUCUUCGGAUUGUAAAGUUCUGUUGUCAGAGACGAACAAGUACCGUUCGAACAGGGCGGUACCUUGACGGUACCUGACGAGAAAGCCACGGCUAACUACGUGCCAGCAGCCGCGGUAAUACGUAGGUGGCAAGCGUUGUCCGGAAUUAUUGGGCGUAAAGCGCGCGCASGCGGCUAUGUAAGUCUGGUGUUAAA
rnacentral:rRNA from 1 species